rnacentral:SRP_RNA from 1 species
CUCGCGUGGCGCUACCCGUCGAACCUCCCCAGGGCCGGAAGGCAGCAAGGAUAAGGCGGCUCUGGCGGGUGCGCGGG